rnacentral:rRNA from 1 species
AGCGUUAAUCGGAAUUACUGGGCGUAAAGCGCGCGUAGGUGGCUUGAUAAGCCGGUUGUGAAAGCCCCGGGCUCAACCUGGGAACGGCAUCCGGAACUGUCAGGCUAGAGUGCAGGAGAGGAAGGUAGAAUUCCCGGUGUAGCGGUGAAAUGCGUAGAGAUCGGGAGGAAUACCAGUGGCGAAGGCGGCCUUCUGGACUGACACUGACACUGAGGUGCGAAAGCGUGGGUAGCAAACAGGAUUAGAUACCCUGGUAGUCCACGCCGUAAACGAUGUCGACCAGCCGUUGGGUGCCUAGAGCACUUUGUGGCGAAGUUAACGCGAUAAGUCGACCGCCUGGGGAGUACGGCCGCAAGGUUAAAACUCAAAUGAAUUGACGGGGGCCCGCACAAGCGGUGGAGCAUGUGGUUUAAUUCGAUGCAACGCGAAGAACCUUACCUACCCUUGACAUCUACAGAAGCCGGAAGAGAUUCUGGUGUGCCUUCGGGAACUGUAAGACAGGUGCUGCAUGGCUGUCGUCAGCUCGUGUUGUGAAAUGUUGGGUUAAGUCCCGUAACGAGCGCAACCCUUGUCCUUAUUUGCCAGCGAGUAAUGUCGGGAACUCUAAGGAGACUGCCGGUGACAAACCGGAGGAAGGUGGGGACGACGUCAAGUCAUCAUGGCCCUUACGGGUAGGGCUACACACGUGCUACAAUGGCCGGUACAAAGGGCUGCGAGCUCGCGAGAGUCAGCGAAUCCCUUAAAGCCGGUCUCAGUCCGGAUCGGAGUCUGCAACUCGACUCCGUGAAGUCGGAAUCGCUAGUAAUCGUGAAUCAGAAUGUCACGGUGAAUACGUUCCCGGGCCUUGUACACACCGCCCGUC